rnacentral:rRNA from 1 species
CCUACGGGUGGCAGCAGUAGGGAAUAUUGCUCAAUGGGGGAAACCCUGAAGCAGCAACGCCGCGUGGGGGAUGAAGGUUUUCGGAAUGUAAACUCCUUUUGUUAGAGAAGAUAAUGACGGGAUCUAACGAAUAAGCACCGGCUAACUCCGUGCCAGAAGCCGAGGUAAUACGGAGGGUGCAAGCGUUAAUCUGAAUUACUGGGCGUAAAGAGCGCGUAGGCGGGAUAGAAGGUCAGAUGUGAAAUCCUAUGGCUUAACCACAGAACUGCAGUUGAAACUGUUAUUCUAGAGUAUGGGAGAGGUAGGUGGAAUUCUUGGUGUAGCGGUAAAAUCCGUAGAGAUCAAGAGGAAUACUCAUUGCGAAGGCGACCUGCUAGAACAUAACUGACGCUGAUGCGCGAAAGCGUGGGGAGCAAACAGGAUUAGAUACCCUAGUAGUC